AGAGUUUGAUCAUGGCUCAGGAUGAACGCUAGCUACAGGCUUAACACAUGCAAGUCGAGGGGCAGCAUUGGAGUAGCAAUACUCAGAUGGCGACCGGCGCACGGGUGAGUAACACGUAUCCAACCUGCCGCUUACUCGGGGAUAGCCUUUCGAAAGAAAGAUUAAUACCCGAUGGUAUAAAGAGUUCGCAUGUUCUCUUUAUUAAAGAAUUUCGGUAAGCGAUGGGGAUGCGUUCCAUUAGAUAGUUGGCGGGUAACGGCCCACCAAGUCUACGAUGGAUAGGGGUUCUGAGAGGAAGGUCCCCCACAUUGGAACUGAGACACGGUCCAAACUCCUACGGGAGGCAGCAGUGAGGAAUAUUGGUCAAUGGACGAGAGUCUGAACCAGCCAAAGUAGCGUGAAGGAUGACUGCCCUAUGGGUUGUAAACUUCUUUUAUAAGGGAAUAAAGUGAGGGACGUGUCCCUUUUUGUAUGUACCUUAUGAAUAAGGAUCGGCUAACUCCGUGCCAGCCGCGGC
rnacentral:rRNA from 1 species